rnacentral:rRNA from 2 species
GGACGAACGCUGGCGGCGUGCCUAAUACAUGCAAGUCGAACGAACUCUGGUAUUGAUUGGUGCUUGCAUCAUGAUUUACAUUUGAGUGAGUGGCGAACUGGUGAGUAACACGUGGGAAACCUGCCCAGAAGCGGGGGAUAACACCUGGAAACAGAUGCUAAUACCGCAUAACAACUUGGACCGCAUGGUCCGAGUUUGAAAGAUGGCUUCGGCUAUCACUUUUGGAUGGUCCCGCGGCGUAUUAGCUAGAUGGUGAGGUAACGGCUCACCAUGGCAAUGAUACGUAGCCGACCUGAGAGGGUAAUCGGCCACAUUGGGACUGAGACACGGCCCAAACUCCUACGGGAGGCAGCAGUAGGGAAUCUUCCACAAUGGACGAAAGUCUGAUGGAGCAACGCCGCGUGAGUGAAGAAGGGUUUCGGCUCGUAAAACUCUGUUGUUAAAGAAGAACAUAUCUGAGAGUAACUGUUCAGGUAUUGACGGUAUUUAACCAGAAAGCCACGGCUAACUACGUGCCAGCAGCCGCGGUAAUACGUAGGUGGCAAGCGUUGUCCGGAUUUAUUGGGCGUAAAGCGAGCGCAGGCGGUUUUUUAAGUCUGAUGUGAAAGCCUUCGGCUCAACCGAAGAAGUGCAUCGGAAACUGGGAAACUUGAGUGCAGAAGAGGACAGUGGAACUCCAUGUGUAGCGGUGAAAUGCGUAGAUAUAUGGAAGAACACCAGUGGCGAAGGCGGCUGUCUGGUCUGUAACUGACGCUGAGGCUCGAAAGUAUGGGUAGCAAACAGGAUUAGAUACCCUGGUAGUCCAUACCGUAAACGAUGAAUGCUAAGUGUUGGAGGGUUUCCGCCCUUCAGUGCUGCAGCUAACGCAUUAAGCAUUCCGCCUGGGGAGUACGGCCGCAAGGCUGAAACUCAAAGGAAUUGACGGGGGCCCGCACAAGCGGUGGAGCAUGUGGUUUAAUUCGAAGCUACGCGAAGAACCUUACCAGGUCUUGACAUACUAUGCAAAUCUAAGAGAUUAGACGUUCCCUUCGGGGACAUGGAUACAGGUGGUGCAUGGUUGUCGUCAGCUCGUGUCGUGAGAUGUUGGGUUAAGUCCCGCAACGAGCGCAACCCUUAUUAUCAGUUGCCAGCAUUAAGUUGGGCACUCUGGUGAGACUGCCGGUGACAAACCGGAGGAAGGUGGGGAUGACGUCAAAUCAUCAUGCCCCUUAUGACCUGGGCUACACACGUGCUACAAUGGAUGGUACAACGAGUUGCGAACUCGCGAGAGUAAGCUAAUCUCUUAAAGCCAUUCUCAGUUCGGAUUGUAGGCUGCAACUCGCCUACAUGAAGUCGGAAUCGCUAGUAAUCGCGGAUCAGCAUGCCGCGGUGAAUACGUUCCCGGGCCUUGUACACACCGCCCGUCACACCAUGAGAGUUUGUAACACCCAAAGUCGGUGGGGUAACCUUUUAGGAACCAGCCGCCUAAGGUGGGACAGAUGAUUAGGGUGAAGUCUAAAAGGGGG